CAAAACAUAAGUUUAAGCAAAAUGACCUGACCAGAAUAAAUAAGACCCAUCAGAGCCCAACUAGUGUGCACCAAGUUUGAUCUACCUCUUUUCAAAGGUACAUAUUUCACCAUAUGUACAUACAUAUUACUAGUUAAUCAAUUGUUAAUAUGUGUGUGUAUAUAUAUACAUAUACAUACCUUAUCAGGGCAAGAACGAUAUCUUUCUCCCCACCCACCAUUCGGUCUUUGUAUUCUAAGAAGAAAUUCAACUCCUUUACGCACAGCAGCACAAUUGUCGUAGGUCCUGCCUGCAGCUGCUAAUCCUCCAAGUGCAAACCAUGCCCCGUAAGUGAAACAAACUCUCCAAUUUCCGUACCUAUUUCAAAAUUUUCUUGUGAUUAUAAUUAGCUACUAAUUAUCAAUUAUUUAAUAACUAAUAGAUAAUUAAAAAAUACUCAAAAAAUGUGUAGGAAUAUUUUACAUUAACUUCAAAUUAUACUAUGAACCAUCGCUCAUUUGUAUGUUUUAAAUGUUUUGAAGGUACUUUGUAGUAUUUUUUUAUGAAAUUAUCAAUCUCUUUAUUUUUAUAGGUAGGAUAUAAUUUCUUAAGUAAAAUAAGAUCUUUAAUUAUUGAUCUUCGUGUUUAAUCACAAUGUCAGCUAAAAAUUCUGUAGGAUUCAAUAGUUGGAAAAAGCAAAAUGAAAUGCUCAUCAAAAUAUUAGAAAUAUAAACUAUAUUUUUAAUAAAAAUAUUUAAUUUAGAUUACACAACUCUUUUAUUUUAUUAUAAAAUCGACAACUAAAGUUCGAAUGUUAUCUUCCAUUCCAUCUCAGAUUAUACUUUUGGUUUAGAGAAUAUAUAUAUAUAUAUAUAUAUAUAUAUAUAAUUAAUUCAAACUUUUGAAAGUCUUUGUGCUGUUAGGAUAUGAUUGCUUACUUCCAACCAUUUUGGUGCACCAGCCGGCUCCCAUGCAACUAAACCGCCAUUUUUACUCUAGAGAAAAAAAAAAAGAUAAUUAGGGACAUAUGAUAAUUAGGUUAAUUUUACCCAUGAAAAUUAAAUUAAUAUUUAAAUUUAAUUAAUUUUACCUGCAAAGAAAGUAGAAUAUUGACAGAAUCAUAUAACUUUCAGUUUCUAUUUUGUCACCGAUAAAUUCUAGUGGCAUCUUCGAGAAAUAUAGACAACACUAUACAUUAUAAGAGACUCAGUAAGAAAUAUAUUAUUUAUAUUUGGACAUAAAUAACAAUGUUAUAUUUAAAUUUUUGUUGUAAUUUCUCAUAUAUAAUAACUAUUUUAUAUGCUAUAUGAAAGUUAAAGAUAAAAAGAUUAUAUUCAGAUACUCUUUCCAAUCUAAUCAAAAAAUAAAUUAUUAAUUUCAACACUUAGAAAUAAAUGAAUAUUUCAUCGUUACUUGCAAAUUAAUAAUUUUAUAUAACUUUAGAAACUUUAGUUAUUCAAUAAUUUGGUAGAACCAAAUAGACCCAUCAUAAUCCAUUCUUUCUUUCUAGUUUAAAAGAAAAUAUGAAUCAGAUCGAGUCAAUUAUAAAUUAAAAAUAAAAAAUCGAUCCAAUUAGAUUCAGUUAUAAAUAGAAAUUACAAAUUUCAACCUAAUAUGUGUAUAUAAGAUAUAUAUAUUGUUAACUUUAUGUAUAAUAUAUGUUCCGAUGUAUAUAUGUAUAAUAAACAUACAUAAUUGGAAUUGAUAAACUCAAUUGAGUCAUAAACUAAAUAAAUUAGAUAAAUUUAUUUCAGAUUUGGUAUGAUUUUAAAUUUUGUAUAUUUAAAAUUAGAUAAGAUUAAACAUACGUUGAAAUUAGUCGCUCGUCAUUCUUAUUAAUUUUUAAUCAUUUUAUUGCAUAUUAAAGUAUUUGAAGGGCUGAAAUGGAGAUGAUAGGAAGUUAGCAGCUCACCGUUAAGCCCUCUGCAGUGCAAUCGGAAACUUGCCAACCAUGAUCUUGAUC
rnacentral:lncRNA from 1 species